rnacentral:rRNA from 1 species
ACCAGACUCCUACGGGAGGCAGCAGUGGGGGAUAUUGCACAAUGGGGGGAACCCUGAUGCAGCGACGCCGCGUGGGUGAAGAAGCGCCUCGGCGCGUAAAGCCCUGUCAGCAGGGAAGAAAAUGACGGUACCUGAAGAAGAAGCCCCGGCUAACUACGUGCCAGCAGCCGCGGUAAUACGUAGGGGGCAAGCGUUAUCCGGAUUUACUGGGUGUAAAGGGGGCGCAGACGGCGAUGCAAGCCAGGAGUGAAAGCCCGGGGCCCAACCCCGGGACUGCUCUUGGAACUGCGUGGCUGGGGUGCAGGAGGGGCAGGCGGAAUUCCUGGGGUAGCGGUGAAAUGCGUAGAUAUCAGGAGGAACACCGGUGGCGAAGGCGGCCUGCUGGACUGCAACUGACGUUGAGGCCCGAAAGCGUGGGGAGCAAACAGGAUUAGAUACCCCUGUAC